rnacentral:rRNA from 1 species
UACGGGGGGAGCAAGCGUUGUUCGGAUUUACUGGGCGUAAAGGGCGCGUAGGCGGCCACCGCAAGUCGGUUGUGAAAUCUCUGGGCUUAACCCAGAAAGGUCAACCGAUACUGCGGGGCUAGAGUGCAGAAGGGGCAACUGGAAUUCUCGGUGUAGCGGUGAAAUGCGUAGAUAUCGGAAGGAACGCCGGUGGCGAAAGCGACGUGCUGGACCUCUUCUGACGCUGAGGCGCGAAAGCCAGGGGAGCAAACGGG